UGCAGCACUUGCUGAAAUGGGUGCUGGAGAACAUCUGCUCUUCCAGAAGUCUGUGUCACCAUGACUGGAACAUUAACUUUGUAAAGGUGACCUUAAGAAGGAGGGGGAAAAGAGUAGUAUUUCUGUAAUCAAGGAAAAAGAUAUUUCCGUAAAUCUUAAAGACUGAGACGUCCCACUGGUCUCUCAUCAAAACAAAGCCAUUCCCAAGAAGCCCCUCAUGGGAGUGUUAUCUUAAUGAAUAAGGCAAAUGGCGGCCCGCUCAGACUCGCACCCUGGAAAGACAGCGUGAAACAGUUCACGGAUUAUGACCAUCAGUGCCGUGGAAGAGAAGGAAAUGUGGAAGUGUUCCUGUCUAUCUAAAAACUACUCGGUUUUCUAUACAUACAAAUAAUUUUAUUUCUUGCCUCCAAGGCCUAAAGAAGGAAAAUAAUUCUACUUCACCCAAGUAAAAACAAACAAAAAAGCAAAAUAUUCUACUCAAAUACAAUGGAAAGCUAUCAGAUAACUACUCUUGAAGAAAAGAAAAUCGGGAAAAAAUAAUCUCCUUCAGAAGCACCAGUGUCCACAAGAUUACAGAUCUAUGGGGAUGCCCUCUUAUCCAAUCAGUAGUCUCUCCCAUGAUCACCCAAGCAUUGAUGCAGCAAAGAAUGGAGAUAACAGUUUUUCAUAGUUCACAAACUCCCCAGAUGUUCACACUGGGAUUUGAGACUGGUAUAAAUUAUCCCAUGCCUUUAGGUUAAAGUUUGUGGGACGAUUUCCAACUAUGAACUCACCUCCUUCAAUAAAUGUGAACCAAUUCAGAAAAAAAAAAAAAGAUACUUGGAAAACUGAAUCUUCACAUGUAAAAUAACAACACUGGACCUGUCUGUUAUGCCAUACACACACACACACACACACACACACACACACACACACACACACACACAAAAUUAACUCACACUUAAAAUGAAAAGAAGAUGUAAAUACUAGACCUGAGCCUUCAUACUUCCAGAAGAAGACAUCACAAAAUCUGGGACUAUACAAGAAUAAAUGGAACUUCCGUCACUCAGAACUUUGUCACUAGGACAAAUACCUAGGAGAAACAAGAUGGACUGAUGUAAUUCACAGUUUCAGUCCAUUGUGUUAAGUCUGAAGUAAGGCUAGCAGUGAUGGCAGAGAGGACAUGAUGGAACAGAUAUCUCACACCGUCACAGGCAGGAAGCAAAGAGUUACCUGCACGAGAGCUACCUCCUUCUUGCUUUUACCCUCCUUGGGGCCCUGGCUUCCUGGGACUGUGUGCACACUCGGGAUGGACAUUUCUGAGGAUUGCCACACUGACGCAGCUAGAGGCGGUUCCACUCAACUCCA